UACAACAAAACUGAACAAAAUCUGCAA
rnacentral:piRNA from 1 species